CACCACUUCUUCUGAGAAACCAGAACCAGCCCCGCCCUCCAGCCACUGACAUGACAAGUCCUGUUACCGGGGACCUCACUUCUUACCUUGUCACCGGGGAGCCAGCCAGGCCAAAGGGAUGCCACUUCUGGAAGCAGUCAUCUUCUCCUGCCUCUGGGCCUUUGGCCUUGGCCAGGUGAAAUUGGAGCAACCGGAAAUAUCAAUUUCCAGAGCAAGAGAUAAGAGUGCCCACAUAUCAUGCAAGGUGUUCAUUUCGGACUUUAACAAUGCAAAGAUACACUGGUACCGGCAGAAGCCAGAUCAGGAGAUAGAACAUCUAACAUAUAUCCAGGCAAGCUCUGGUCAAGUUUCUUUAGGUGGGAAGAAAAACAAACUUGAAGCAAGUAAAAAUGCUCUUACUUCCACUUCAACCUUGAAUAUAAAUUUCUUAGAGAAACAAGACGAGGCCGUGUACUACUGUGCCUGCUGGGAUUGGGACCCACGGCAUCAGCGUUGCCAAGAGGAGCUGCACAAGAACCGUCCUCAGGUCUGACCCACCCACAUCCUG